UGUCCUGUGAUGUCAGCGGUG
rnacentral:misc_RNA from 1 species